CUGAUGUGACAAUGGUUCAAGGCAAGGCAGCCAAGGUAAGGAUAAAAGACCUUUGCCUGGUAGUAGGCCUGCAAAUGAUAGUGUUAGCUUCUUUCCUUCCUCCCUUCCUCCCUCCCUUCCUUCCUUCCUUACUUACUUCCUUCCUUCCUUCCUGUAAGAACAAAAAAUGUGGUGGAGAAGAACUGGGGCAAGGGUCUGAAAAGAGUUUGCUAAAUGACAAAGGGGAGCAGGCGAGGCGUGUAUUGGAAUGGAACAAAUGGAAGCCCGAAUGAAGCAAAGGCCAAGGCCAACAGCAAAGGCGAGGCGAAAGGAGUGGUUGUGUUGUGGCAAAAGGGACGACAGGCAGAGCCAAAGAGAGCAUUGGUGUGGUCGGGACGCUGCCCUCCCUGGUGGACCUUUUGCCCAGAGUAGGCGCAAGGGAGCUGUCCAAGGAUUCCAGUGCGAGCAUGUUUUGCGAGGAGAAGGCACACUGUGCUCUGUGUGUGUGCGUGUGUGUGUGUGUGUGUGUGUGUGUGUGUGUGUGUGUGUGUUCCGUGUGUUCGUUGGUGGAGCAAAGAGAGGCAAGGUGAGGCGAAGGAGAAGGAGAAGAGCAGAAGGAGGAGGAGGAGGAGGAGGAGGAGGAGGAGGAGGAGGAGGAGGAGGAGAAGGAGAAGAAGGAGAAGGAGAAGGAGAAGGAGAAGGAGAAGGAGAAGGAGAAGGAGAAGGAGAAGGAGAAGGAGAAGGAGAAGGAGAAGGAGAAGGAGAAGGAGAAGGAGAAGGAGAAGGAGAAGGGAGUGAAGGGGCAUGAAGGGCAUGAAGAGCAUGAAGGUCCUGGUGGUGUGGGCAGAGGCUGUUGAGAGCCUGUGAGGCAAGGGUGUGAGGCAUGCAAGUGUGGUGUGGGCGUGUGCAGUUGUGGUGGUGCCGGGUCGGGUGUUGGGCCUCGGGUGUUUUGAAGAGUGCAAAGAAGAGGAGGAGCGCAGGGGGGUGUGUGUGAAAAGUGUGGUGAGGAAAGGGCGAGGAGCGGAGGGUGAAAAAAAUGUGUAGCCCAGGCUGGCCUCGAACUCGUGAUCCUCCUGCCUCUGCCUCCUUCAGCAAAUCCUACCGGCAGCGAACGGGCGCUGCUACGCCCUACUUGAACCGUACCAACGAUGACGACACAACACCCGACACGCCCCCAUACUCCUACCUGAAC
rnacentral:lncRNA from 1 species